AGCUAUGGCCAUGCUCCCCUGAAUAAGCAUGAUCCCAUCUGAUCUAAGCAGGGUCAGGCCUGGUUAGUACUUAGAUGGGAGACCACCUAGGAAGACCAGGUGCUGUAGGCG
rnacentral:rRNA from 1 species